rnacentral:tRNA from 1 species
GGAGGGGUAGCGAAGUGGUCAAACGCGCCUGACUGUAAAUCAGGUGGCUUACGCCUUCGGAGGUUCGAAUCCUCCCCCCUCCACCA